GACGAACGUUGGCGGCGUGCUUAACACAUGCAAGUCGAACGGAAAGGCCCUGCUUUUGUGGGGUGCUCGAGUGGCGAACGGGUGAGUAACACGUGAGUAACCUGCCCUUGACUUUGGGAUAACUUCAGGAAACUGGGGCUAAUACCGGAUAGGAGCUCCUGCUGCAUGGUGGGGGUUGGAAAGUUUCGGCGGUUGGGGAUGGACUCGCGGCUUAUCAGCUUGUUGGUGGGGUAGUGGCUUACCAAGGCUUUGACGGGUAGCCGGCCUGAGAGGGUGACCGGCCACAUUGGGACUGAGAUACGGCCCAGACUCCUACGGGAGGCAGCAGUGGGGAAUAUUGCACAAUGGGCGGAAGCCUGAUGCAGCAACGCCGCGUGCGGGAUGACGGCCUUCGGGUUGUAAACCGCUUUCGCCUGUGACGAAGCGUGAGUGACGGUAAUGGGUAAAGAAGCACCGGCUAACUACGUGCCAGCAGCCGCGGUGAUACGUAGGGUGCGAGCGUUGUCCGGAUUUAUUGGGCGUAAAGGGCUCGUAGGUGGUUGAUCGCGUCGGAAGUGUAAUCUUGGGGCUUAACCCUGAGCGUGCUUUCGAUACGGGUUGACUUGAGGAAGGUAGGGGAGAAUGGAAUUCCUGGUGGAGCGGUGGAAUGCGCAGAUAUCAGGAGGAACACCAGUGGCGAAGGCGGUUCUCUGGGCCUUUCCUGACGCUGAGGAGCGAAAGCGUGGGGAGCGAACAGGCUUAGAUACCCUGGUAGUCCACGCUGUAAACGGUGGGUACUAGGUGUGGGGUCCAUUCCACGGGUUCCGUGCCGUAGCUAACGCUUUAAGUACCCCGCCUGGGGAGUACGGCCGCAAGGCUAAAACUCAAAGGAAUUGACGGGGCCCCGCACAAGCGGCGGAGCAUGCGGAUUAAUUCGAUGCAACGCGUAGAACCUUACCUGGGUUUGACAUGGAUCGGGAGUGCUCAGAGAUGGGUGUGCCUCUUUUGGGGUCGGUUCACAGGUGGUGCAUGCCUGUCGUCAGCUCGUGUCGUGAGAUGUUGGGUUAAGUCCCGCAACGAGCGCAACCCUUGUUCACUGUUGCCAGCACGUUAUGGUGGGGACUCAGUGGAGACCGCCGGGGUCAACUCGGAGGAAGGUGGGGAUGACGUCAAGUCCUCAUGCCCCUUAUGUCCAGGGCUUCACGCAUGCUACAAUGGCUGGUACAGAGAGUGGCGAGCCUGUGAGGGUGAGCGAAUCUCGGAAAGCCGGUCUCAGUUCGGAUUGGGGUCUGCAACUCGACCUCAUGAAGUCGGAGUCGCUAGUAAUCGCAGAUCAGCAACGCUGCGGUGAAUACGUUCCC
rnacentral:rRNA from 1 species